AGCUGGGUGUGGAUUUUCUGGUUUGGGAUUAGAUGGAGCCGAUAACUCAUAGAGACAUAUGUCCCCAGACAGCAGGGUGCUAAGGAGAGAAUAUCUGAUUCCAAAUGACAAGAUUGUUCAAUUCAUCUCAUUCGAUUUUUUCCUGUUUUAACCUUAAAUUGUAUGAGAAGACCUCAUCAGAUGUCACUAUCAUCAGCUUGACAUCAAAUCAAAUCAAAUCAAAUCAGGACCCCACACCCAGGAAUAAAUAUAAAAUUUGCUUCUCAGAAUAGCUCACUGUUUAGUAUAGGCUAGCUUUGGUGGUUUCGCUCUGGCAAAUUGUAAAUAGCAGAUCAUUACGAUCACUUCCUUCAAUUAAAUGCUGGACCCCUUUGAAUGUGCCAGUAAAUGAUGAAUUGGCAUCAUUGUGAGCUCUGCAUUCAAACCGGUGGAGUUUUGAAGUAGAUUCAAAUUCCAAGGAAACAACAGGUGGGACUUUUAUAAAGGUGGCUACCUUUCUCUGCAAAGGUAGAGCCGUCACAGCAGGAAAAGAGGUUGAAGGCCAUAACUGUGUCAUGUGGCCACAUACUUUUGGGCACACAAAGAGCUCCCACACCAGCAGGAAGAAUGUUCUUACACACCCUUAGUCAAACGGAGCUGUUUCCAAUGCUACUAUGAAACAUUUGUUUUCUUUUAAACUUGUUUUUCUUCCUUCCAAAGGUCGCCUUAAGUGGUGCUUAGGUUCAGCUCUCCAGGUUGUUUGUGAGCAUGUCUUGACUAAUUGCCAAAUGGCAGCAGGGUUGAUUGCCUUUUUAUAACAUGCUUGAUAAAGCAAGCUCCAAAAGCUUGUGCUUCCCAGUCCCUUGCCUCAAAAAAUGUCCUGUACAAUUUCUAGCCCUUUCUCACUUCCUCGCUCUCCUUGCUGCUGGCUCCUAGGUUGCCUCGCUCAGAUUAAAACUAUCCUCCAGAACCCGUUCGCCUUGGAUUUCCUCCCACCGCUCGCUGUCUUCUUCUGUCUCGUCCAGGAUAGGGACUGACCCAAGCAUGUGAGACUGGUUGAGAAGAGCUGAGGAUAAAGAGCUGGUCCAGCUCCUGUACCAACCGCGAUUGCUGUUGUGUGCAUGUCGUGUAGCGGAUGCCCAGUGCAAGCUAUACACCGCGUACUUCUGGAGCCCUUUCAUGCCACUGUUUUAUUCCUGUAGAAAAUGGGAGGUUGUGCUUCAAGGUGUAGCUCCUCACCUACACACCUAAAUGUGCAUUACUUAAAUGGCAGAUGGAUAGCAAAAUGACUGAGUGUCAUCCCUCUGCAUUAAUAAAAUUCAUCUUUAGCUUUACACUUCCCACGUAGCAUCCGCUUGAAUUCAGAGGCUUUAAUCCCUCGUUUCAUUGCACUGGGUUUUAUUCCUGGGUGACUCCGCUCAAGCUAAACCUGAAUGGCAGAGGGGUGAACAAGCUCGAAAAAUAUUAAUGAUGCCAGUUCCUUUCUUUCAUCACGGGAAACCAGGAUUAGGUGCCCUGAGGUUGCAACAGGUCCAUAAAAAGGAAGGAAGAAAGAACCAAAUGUUAGUGUAAAUUUCUCCAUACCUCAAGAUGGGUGGCUGUUCAGAGCAGCGCUGGAAAGCCACGUGGAAACCAGAAUGGUACUACUGUGGCUAGCAUCAAACCAAAUCAAACAUGGGUCUCCAAGAAGUGAGAAAUUUGUGCAGCAGACAAAUGAAAAAGGUCACCAUUUCUCAAAACCAAGGAGGGAAAGACAAAUGCACGUCUGGAGACCACCAAAGCACCCUAGAUGCCUGGGACAAAACCCUACUAAUAAUCAGCGAUGUUGCCAAAGUUCAGCAUACUAAAUACUCCUAUUGUGUGUAUGCUAGUAAUGAACUCAGAGUUAAACAGUAUAUCCUUUGAGCCUGCUAAAUGGGUUGCAUUAAUCCUAAUGGUAACAAAACAAUAUAAAGCAAAGGCACUGGAAAGGAAUAUCAGGGCCAAGAGGCAGAGGAGAGUUUUUGGUGGGAAGCGAGCGGCACGACUUUGCGUGAUCGACUUUAGUCAAAAUAAGGGUGCGAUCCUGACUCCGCCGUGCACACCGCGCUCCCACUGGCUUCGGCUAAGUGACACUCUCCCGCGUGUGGAAGGAAUAUAGCCUCCGCCUUCACAGUGUCUGAGAUGUGAAGUAUGACGCAGGUAACGGCACGGAGCACUUCAGACUUCAAGUUCGCAUAAAAUCUGUUUCCAAUGUUUCUGACAUGGAGAAUGCUGAACAACAUCAGUAGGAGCACAAGUUGGUGGAAAGCAGGAUUUUAACAAUUGCUAUUCAGCUCACAUAAAUGACAGGCGCACUCCCCUGUAGCUGGAUUUCUCAGGAGAGACAGAUAGUGAAUAAACAGUGAUUUGUUUAUGAAGGGAAGAGACUGUUUCUCUGAUCAUGUGAAUUGUCAUAGGGCCCAAACCGGCAUACCUUAGCCAAUAAGCCUUACAUGUGCAAACAAGUUAAUCUUUGCUAAACCACAACGAGGAAUGGAAAUACUAUCCCCAUUUUACAGAAGAGAGAAUGCAGACAACAAGGAUCACAAGAGGAGCUCCUAACCUGAAGAUCUUCACUCUGUCCAUGAGCCAACGCUACUGCUCAGAGUGCCCAAUUCAAAACCUAUUUAAGUCAAUGCAAAGAUUCCCUUUGAUUUCAGCUGGCUUUGGAUAUAGUCCAUGCACAACGCUCCCAGCUGGGAAAGCUUGCUAGAGUCAUGCCUAUUUUGGAAGUUCUCACCAAUGCUGAUGGUUUGAAAAUACCCAUUUAUCCUGAUUUCAAAAGCCAGGAGCAAAUAAUUUUAAGACUAGCCAACAGAAUAUAUGAUACAAUAUUUAGCCAUUUGCAUAUUUGAAAACCACAGCAGUUGGUCUAAGUAGGCAUGAAGGAUUCUGUAUAUAAUGGCAUCUUUGGGUAGAUGUGUCGGUUUCUGGGUGUUGUAGUUUUAAGGAAAAUUAGUCUCUUCCUUUUACUCACCCUGGCAUUAGAGUCUAGUAUUAAGUCACAAAAGCCAGCUGUGUGUUUGGUGGCGUCUAGGAUUUUAUUGCACACACAUCUCCACUGCAGUUGCUCCAAAAACUCACUCUUUACAAAGAAGUCGCUGCUGUUCCUUCCCAACAAAGACCUCCAGAAGAGAAAAGCUCGUGGUUUCUAUGGAGAACAUUCUCUGCUCUUCCACCUCACUGGGGUAGACUGGGGUUCAAGUCACUCAGGACUCAAGCCAUCCCCUUCACGACUGGGUAGUGUCAUUAUUGUAAGCCAAGAAGAGCCAAACCAACAACAGCAAAAAUAGUUCUCCUGGACACACACCACUGGUCCAGACAUAGCAUUGCUAGGACAUAUUCCUCUCAGAAGCCAGGAUUUAAUACACUAUCAGGUGGUGUCUUCUGUAUCUUCAAUAGGUGCCUAGAUCCCCUAGUCACAGAGGUGUAACACCCUCUGUGCCCUGUGCUGCUAUGGUAAGAAGAGCAGUAGUGGUGGCAGCGAGUGGCGCACCUGUCACCCACCCCCACUACUGCUUAAUCAUAAUAGAUCCUUCUCCCCUCCCCACCUGAUGUGUUAAUAAAUUAAUUAAUUAGCACAAUCAUUCCUAUUACUGAUUUUUUUUUCACUGAGAAUAGACUAUAAUUAAGAGGUCAAUUAAAUUAAGAGUGCAUACCAAACUGAUUCCUUUGUGCCCCAUAGAGGAAGGAGUAGGGGAUGCACUGCCGGCUUGUGCUUGUCUCUAAAUAUGAAACACUCUGGGCAGCACAGACCACGUGUCUAUUCUGCACGAAAACCCCAUUGUUUGUGCAUAGCCUCUCUGUAGCGAACCUGAACUAAUUGCACAAGCCUGCCAUCAAGCCUACCUUGCAUCAACAAAUAUCAACUGAAAACGGAUGGCAUUUAACUACUUUUCUCAGAAGAUGAUUUCACUUGCACAAUACAUGAUGGGCUGUGUAAAAUACACCUAUUGUGCUAUUAAUCACUGCUAUUCAUCCUUCAUUUUCAAAGGCAGUUCAGACCAGUGUUCUGGGUCCCCUUAGACUCCAAGCUUGCUUAGUGAAAUGAGGCGCUGUGCUGGGAAGGCAGAAUAGAAAGAGGACAUACUUGGAGCGAAAUUUGGGCCACCAGUGAAGUCAAUGACACCAGCACUGACUUCAGCAGCUCCAGGGAGUUUAUGGGUGCAGAAACACUGGCAAUGAACACUACAUGGGCUUCUCUGUUAUGGUGGGCAGAAUAAUUGUAUAAAAUACUUGCAUAUUUGAAGAUAAUUCACAGUAGGUCCUGAUGUGCAAUUUGAACCACCCACACAGAGUCCAGUUGAAUCCACAGGGUGCCAGAUGGGUGCAGUGGUCUCUUGAUGGGGGUCUGAUAGGAGAUCCGGGCCUCGCUUUUUGAUGAAUGCUGUAUUUAAUAUAUAUGACACAGGACACCCAAACCAGAAACAUCCUGUCUUGCUCCCAGCCCAUCCAAGCACCUUGGCACCCAGACGCCAUCCACGCAUGUUUCCUACACCAAUUUUGUAUUGCUCUUUUUUUUUUCUGACUUUUGUCAAACACUGCAUCAAAUUUGCAGGGUCCUGAUUUUCACAUUCACAUUUCCAAGCUUUGGUUUGUGUCCUUUUUUUUUUUUUGACAGAAUUAAAGAAAAUGCUUGUUUUUACAGUUUCACCACUCCACGUGCUUUGACUGGGAAGCUACCUUUGUUAGAAAAGGGAUUCCUUUUCCCUUGAAAAAUGUGCCUGACUGCAUUUAUGAGCAUAGCCUCUGUUACUGAAUUAGCAACAACACGGGAGGAAAAAAAACCUAAAUUCAAUGAACCAUGAUCAGGCUAAUCCAAGGAAAUCAACACGUGUCUCUGCAGACGUCUCAGAGUACCACGCGCUAAGACAGGAGAAUCCUGCUUAACGGCCCUCUCUCAUUCACCCCAGCAAAUAACUAACGGAGUGUUGCCAGCCUUCACGAUUGUAUUGCGAGUCUUGCAAUGUUCGGUGUUUUUCCUUAGAGCUGGAGAUCCCUUUCCAUUUGAUAUUGUAUUGUCAGCUUUUACUUAAAAUAAAUUAUGUUUCUAGCCCUCACUGAAUCUUAAAAACCAAGCUCUAAACAGUCUAGCGUCAGGAAGCAAAUGAAAGGAAUCUGAAAUGCCACAUUUUUCCAUGUCAGUAUAUUUAAGCAAAUCUUGUCAUUGCGGGAGGCGCUGAUUCAUGCUCUUGAAAGAUUGCAUUUCAUAAUACUGCUACGGUCUAACAAGCUAUAUUUUUAAAACUGAAAGGACUCUCGGUGUCAUAGCAAGGAGUAAAAAGUGCAUUUGUUGCUCUUCUUUUUGAUUUGACCUUUAUUUCUUAUUUUUUUAUAACUAUGUCUGAUAACUUCUUUGAAAACACUGAGAGCCACAGUUUCAUCCCCACCACCUAGUUAAGCACCACUUAGCACUGACCAGCAGUUUCCUUACCAGGAGCAAUGUAUAUUAACUCUGUCCAGAUUAAAAGGUAAUCCUUGCCAUUCACAGUCA